UCGGAAAAUCUAUGAUUGACUACUUCCUUUAUUUUUCGAACAUCUAUAGGUUACGUAUUCAAAAAAAAAUUCUUUACAAUUCUACUUUCUUAAUUUUUUUAAAAUCAAAUAGAAAGAUUGUAGAAUUAAAGUGUCAGUGCCGGUUACUUUCUUAAGAUCAAUAGAAACCUCAUGAUGAUAGGCAUGGAUAAGCUGCAAAGAUUGGGAUAUGAAGAUUUCCCUUCCUCAAUUAAGAAACCUCCUGAUGAUAGCGCAUGGAUGAGCUGCAAAGAUUGGGAUUUGAUGGUUUCCCAUCCUUCAUUAAGAAACCUCCUGAUGAUAGUGCAUGGAUGAGCUGCAAAGAUUGGGAUUUGAAGGUUUCCGAUCCUUCAUUAAGAAACCUCCUGAUGAUAGAGCAAGAAUGAGCUGCAAAGAUUGGGAUUUGAAGGUUUCCCAUCCUUCAAUAAGAAACCUCCUGAUGAUAGUGCAUGGAUGAGCUGCAAAGAUUGGGAUUUGAAGGUUUCCGAUCCUUCAUUAAGAAACCUCCUGAUGAUAGCGCAAGAAUGAGCUGCAAAGAUUGGGAUUUGAAGGUUUCCCAUCCUUCAAUAAGAAACCUCCUGAUGAUAGUGCAUGAAUGAGCUGCAAAGAUUGGGAUUUGAAGGUUUCCGAUCCUUCAUUAAGAAACCUCCUGAUGAUAGUGCAUGGAUGAGCUGCAAAGAUUGGGAUUUGAAGGUUUCCGAUCCUUCAUUAAGAAACCUCCUGAUGAUAGCGCAUGGAUGAGCUGCAAAGAUUGGGAUUUGAUGGUUUCCCAUCCUUCAUUAAGAAACCUCCUGAUGAUAGAGCAUGGAUGAGCUGCAAAGAUUGGGAUAUGAAGGUUUCCCUUCCUACAUUAAGGAACCUUCUGAUGAGCAAGCAUUGAGGUAAUAUUUCUUACUUGGAAUUGAAAGGAAAAACGUAUUAUGAAGUAAUUAUGUUUUAAUGAUUACUUUUCAAAAACAAACCAGUUCGUACUAAUUAUAGUUGUGGACACUCACUUAUCCAAUUGUAGAAUAAAUUGAAACAAUUUUUUUUUUUUAUUUCUUCAUUUAUUAUUCAUGAAGUAUUUUCUCUUUAUUCAAUUGUAACAACUAGUAUUCGAAUCAUGAAUUAAUUGAUGUUUUUGUAUUGUUUCAUUAGUAUAUAUUAUAUUUUUUAUUAAAG